UGUAAGACGUAUUUGGGUUAUAUGGUCAAGUGAAUAAGCGCAUACGGUGGAUGCCUAGGCGAUAAGAGGCGAAGAAGGACGUUGUAGGAUGCGAUAAGCCGCGGAGAGUUUUCAAACUAACGUUGACCCGCGGAUUUCCGAAUGGGGAAACCCAAUGGUCAUAAGGCCAUUAUCCUGACCUGAAUACAUAGGGUCAGAGAAGCGAACCGGGAGAACUGAAACAUCUAAGUACCCCGAGGAAAAGAAAUCAAUUGAGAUUCCCUAAGUAGCGGCGAGCGAACGGGGACCAGCCGAGCAGAAUAGAGUUAGUGGAACAGUCUGGAAAGUCUGGCGAUACAGGGUGAUAGCCCCGUACACGAAAACUCUUUUUUGACAUAUUAAGUAGGUCGAUGCACGUGAAACGUUGACUGAAGAUGGGGGGACCAUCCUCCAAGGCUAAAUACUCCUUAUCGACCGAUAGUGAACUAGUACCGUGAGGGAAAGGCGAAAAGAACCCCGGAGAGGGGAGUGAAAUAGAUCCUGAAACCGUAUGCGUACAAGCAGUAGGAGCAGACUUGUUCUGUGACUGCGUACCUUUUGUAUAAUGGGUCAGCGACUUACAUUUUGUGGCAAGCUUAACCGAAAAGGGGAGGCGUAGCGAAAGCGAGUCUUAAUAGGGCGUUCAGUCGCAAGGUGUAGACCCGAAACCGGGCGAUCUAUCCAUGACCAGGUUGAAGGUGGGGUAAUACCUACUGGAGGACCGAACCCACUUAUGUUGAAAAAUGAGGGGAUGAGUUGUGGAUCGGAGUGAAAGGCUAAUCAAGCCCGGAGAUAGCUGGUUCUCCUCGAAAUCUAUUUAGGUAGAGCCUCGUGUAUAACUGUUGGGGGUAGAGCACUGUUACGGCUAGGGGGUCAUCCCGACUUACCAAACCGUUGCAAACUCCGAAUACCAACAAGUUUUAGCACGGGAGACACACGGCGGGUGCUAAGGUCCGUCGUGAAAAGGGAAACAGCCCAGACCGUCAGCUAAGGUCCCAAAAUCUAUGCUCAGUGGGAAACGAUGUGAAAAGGCCCAGACAGCCAGGAGGUUGGCUUAGAAGCAGCCAUCCUUUAAAGAAAGCGUAAUAGCUCACUGGUCGAGUCGGUUUGCGCGGAAGAUUUACCGGGGCUAAGCAUAGUACCGAAGCUACGGAUCGACGUUUAUUUAUAAACGGAGGUGGUAGAGGAGCGUUCCGUAAGCCUGCGAAGGUGCAUUGAGAAGUGCGCUGGAGGUAUCGGAAGUGCGAAUGCUGACAUGAGUAACGAUAAUGGGGGUGAAAAACCCCCACGCCGAAAACCCAAGGUUUCCUGCGCAACGCUAAUCGACGCAGGGUUAGUCGGGACCUAAGGCGAGGCCGAAAGGCGUAGUCGAUGGAAAACAGGUUAAUAUUCCUGUACUUGUUAUAACUGCGAUGGGGUGACGGAGAAGGCUAGAUCAGCAUACUGUUGGAUAUGUAUGUUUAAGCAUGUAGGGAGAGUGUUUAGGUAAAUCCGGACGCUUGCUAAUCCUGAGGUGUGAUGACGAGUUUUUCCUAGUGAAAGACGAAGUGAUUGAUGCCAUACUUCCAAGAAAAACCUCUAAGCAUCAGGUUAUAACAACCCGUACCCCAAACCGACACAGGUGGGUGGGAUGAGAAUUCUAAGGCGCUUGAGAGAACUCGGGUGAAGGAACUAGGCAAAAUUGUACCGUAACUUCGGGAGAAGGUACGCCUUUUGUAGGUGAAGCGAUUUACUCGUGGAGCUGAAGAAGGCAGCAUUAAAUUGGUGGCUGCGACUGUUUAUCAAAAACAUAGCACUCUGCAAACACGAAAGUGGACGUAUAGGGUGUGACGCCUGCCCGGUGCCGGAAGGUUAAUUGAUGGGGUUAUCUUCGGAGAAGCUCUUGAUCGAAGCCCCGGUAAACGGCGGCCGUAACUAUAACGGUCCUAAGGUAGCGAAAUUCCUUGUCGGGUAAGUUCCGACCUGCACGAAUGGCGUAACGACGGCCACACUGUCUCCACCCGAGACUCAGUGAAAUUGAAAUUGCGGUGAAGAUGCCGUAUACCCGCGGCUAGACGGAAAGACCCCGUGCACCUUUACUAUAGCUUUACACUGGACUUUGAACCUACUUGUGUAGGAUAGGUGGGAGACUAUGAAAUCAUGUCGCUAGAUGUGGUGGAGUCACCCUUGAAAUACCACCCUGGUAUGUUUGAAGUUCUAACCUAGGACCCCUUAUCGGGGUUGGGGACAGUGUAUGGUGGGUAGUUUGACUGGGGCGGUCUCCUCCCAAAGAGUAACGGAGGAGCACGAAGGUACCCUAAUCCUGGUCGGAAAUCAGGAGUUUAGUGCAAUGGCAUAAGGGUGCUUGACUGCGAGACGGACAGGUCGAGCAGGUACGAAAGUAGGUCAUAGUGAUCCGGUGGUUCUGAAUGGAAGGGCCAUCGCUCAACGGAUAAAAGGUACGCCGGGGAUAACAGGCUGAUACCGCCCAAGAGUUCAUAUCGACGGCGGUGUUUGGCACCUCGAUGUCGGCUCAUCACAUCCUGGGGCUGAAGCAGGUCCCAAGGGUAUGGCUGUUCGCCAUUUAAAGUGGUACGCGAGCUGGGUUCAGAACGUCGUGAGACAGUUCGGUCCCUAUCUGCCGUGGGCGUUUGAGAUUUGAGGGAAGCUGCUCCUAGUACGAGAGGACCGGAGUGGACGAACCACUGGUGUUCGGGUUGUCAUGCCAAUGGCAUUGCCCGGUAGCUACGUUCGGACAGGAUAACCGCUGAAAGCAUCUAAGCGGGAAGCCCCUCCCAAGAUGAGAUCUCACUGGAACUUUAAGUUCCCUGAAGGGCCGUUGGAGACUACAACGUUGAUAGGCAAGGUGUGGAAGCGCAGUAAUGUGUGAAGCUAACUUGU
rnacentral:rRNA from 1 species